GGAGCUGCUUCCGAUUCUGUGUCUCCCUCUCUGCCCCUCCCCUGCUCUCUCUCUUCCUCUCUGUCUCAAAAAUAAACAUAAAAAAAGAAAAAAAAGACACGGAAGCCCUAAGAGCAAGACCACCUGAAAGCUUGGCUGCGCAGGUGGCCCCCUGGGCAAUGGCAACCCUAAUGCAGGGGAAGAUGAGCGGGGAGAGGGAUUGAAGAGAGAAGGGGCCGGGGCGCGAGAUGUCUUUUGAGAGCGUUAGAGUCUGAAGGCAGUGGAGGCACACAAGCCCCGUGAUCUCAGAAUUUCCCUAAGAAGCCCCAUUGGCCCUGGGAGAUCAGCGUGCACCUUCCCGGGGCCCAGCGAAGACUCUGGAAUCCGCAUUGUGGGGACACGCGGGGGGAACAACCAACCACAGAAACUACAAACGUCCCUCUGCGUCCCGUCUCCCAGCGGGGGCUCCGGCGCUCGAUGAAGGGGGAGAAUCCGCCUCUGUCGUAACAGGUGCUCAGGCCUCCCUGCCACUUUGACAUAAGAGAGAGACAAAGGGGUCCUCCUGCCAAACACAAUUGUUUUGAGCAAAAGAAAACCUGUGGUGGAUGACGUUUCUGAAAAACAUCCCUUGGCCUGCUAAACAGAGAUUCGCACUCUUGAAUCCUGGGAGGGCGCCCAUGAGGCUAAGACACCCUGUCGCCCUCACAGCCCCCAGGGCACGAUGCCUUGGGUUCAACAAAUAGUUGUCUAUUAAGUAAAAGAGGUGGGUCCCUCUAAAUGAUAGUGAAUGGAGACAUACGGUCCCAACGCUGUAAUAAAUGCCCAUCGCCGCCGAUUCCCUUUCGUGACGAUGAUGACACAGCCUGGCCGUCCUGGUUUAUCUGAGCAUGACCGGUGGUAGGAAAUGUUACCCAAACAUCAUGAGUUAGCAAACAAGAGUGUCCUGUUCCGGAAGGGAGUCAAGAUUGACCUAUUCUAGGUUUGGGAAAAUGCCAGAAAGGCCGGGGGUGCACCGAAACGUUCACUGGGUGCUAAAGGUGGGGGCUUUUCCUUUCCCACAUUUUCGUUAGUUGUGUUUUCUAAAUGUUCUACAAACCGUGCAGGAUUCUCAAAAGAAGGGUUAUAAAAAGGGGGGCGGGGAACUGUCGGACUAAGCUUUUUUUCUUUUGUCAGAUCAUAAUAAUAGGUUGUUACCUAUUGCCACAUGCUUUCUGCUCCCCAGGCACUGUCCCGGGGGCCUGGAACACACGGUAGCUCGCUUUGUCCUCACGAUCACCGAACGCGGAGGCACUAGCCGCAGACCCAUUUUGUAGAUGACAAAGCACACACAGGCGGGUAACUUACCCACAGUCACAGGGUCCUUUACAGAGCUCUGGAUGCAGGCGCCUACAUUCUUUUCCCAGAGCACAGAUGUGGGCUGGGGCCCGGUCCCCAAGUCUGCCUUCAGCGGAGUUGCUCUAAGGCUCUGGGCUUCAGAACCUCCUGAGGGACUUCGUUCCAGCUGGACUUCGGGGUUCUGCCCCCCAGUGGUGCGCCGGUAAACAUUUCAGCAGCGGCUCCUGGGCUGUGGGAGCCCCCGUUUUUAGCCUUUGCCAGUUUCCGUGGUGCAGUCUAUUCGUUGAGCGUCCCUGAAACUGUCACCAAACAACUUUGAGAAGAGAGCAAAGGAAAACGAUCCAGUCCUUGCCAACUGGAAUCAGAGAGAGAGAGAGAGAGAGAAGAGGACGUCGAAUACUGUAAAGAAAAAUAUCUCUAUAUGUCUAUAAACAAAAACAAACUAUUACUGCUCUGCAAGUGGGAACACGUGUGCCUGGGCCUUUAAACUUGAAGCCAGUAGCUUGCUUGGAUCUCUGGGGGGUCGGCGCCAGGAAAUUAUUCCCCCUGGCCUGCCGUGUUGUGCCCAGGACGGUUCUGGGGGUGAACGCAGUGAAGCAGGUGGCCGGGGCGGAUAUCCGGGGCACGGAUCGGGGAGGAGGUGUGGACCCUUUCCCCGGAUGCGCCGUCCACACGCACCGGUUCUGCUUUGUGAGCAGCUCCAGGGUCGGUUUCAGGCGAUGGCAUUUAGGGCAGGAAGCAGAGGAAGCCUGGUCCCCGUUAACCGAUCCCCCCUGGCGUGCCCCGGCGUGAGGGGACGUGUGGGGUUCCAGCGGCGGGUCUGAAAGCCCUUUUUCAUAGCUGGGCGUGUGGGGCUGCAGUGUCUCUGAAGGCCCCGUCACCUGACGUUCCCGAAGUCCCAGCUGAGAUUUGGUUCCAAGCCUUGAGAAAACUGAGGCUGAAAAACUAAUGUGAGGCCUCGACUCCGGGUAGUGAAGGGAGCCUCCCGUCCAUGCGGCAUCUGCUAGGGAAAAACAGAACAGAACAGAACAGAACAACCCAGAAUGAAGGCUAAUGCCAACAGCCAGGAUUUGAUGAGCGCUUCCUGCUGGCCGGGCGUUGGGAUGAGGAUUGUAUCUGUGGUACCUUCGUCCUCCUCACGAGAGCUCUAUGAUGUAGACGCUGUUAUUACUCCAUCUAACAGCCAUUAGAACAAAGACGAGAGCCUGAAAAAUGGUUGGAGGAAGUGAUCCUAAUUUCACUGAAGCGGAAAGAUAACCAUGGAACUAGUCUGCCAGCCCUCAACCCUGUCACUGAAGAGAAACUACCCCUGAACGCGCUAUCCACCAAGGCUGCUCCUGGGUUCCUUAAAGUGGAGUGAAAACUUAAAGCACGUGAACAUUUCCGGUGCAGAAGACGUGAAGAUUCUUACGGCUCUCCCCCAGUCUGUUAACGACUGUUUCACCCAUACCUGCUCCCAUCUUGAGAUCCCCACCUUUAUCGUUUUCCCCAGCGCGUCUGCAGAGAAAUAAACUUUAUUGCCACUCGUA